AGCAUUGUAAAAUGGGGCAAUGAUGCAGCUAGUGAGGUAAUAACCGAGGCGCGUCUAUUGCUGGUUGAAAACUAUUUCCAAACCCCCUCUCUGGCCUUGGUUCACCCUUGGCCUUUGAGAAUUUCUAGGAGAACUCCAAUCGGGG